rnacentral:misc_RNA from 1 species
AAAGUCGUAACAAGGUUUCCGUAGGUGAACCUGCGGAAGGAUCAUUACUGAAUUUAAUGAAGGCAGUUGCUGGCUCUUUUACGAGAGCAUGUGCACGCCUUCAAAUUCAUCUCUUACCACUGUGAACUGUAGUAGACUAUGAUAUCUCUCAAUGGUUUUCCAUUGGAUUGAAGGACAUGCGCUUAGCUGUCUUUCGACUUCAUAGUCUCCCCCUUAUCUUUAUAAACUAAAGUCAUAGAAUGUCUUUUGUGGGUGUAAAAACCUAUAAACAUAUACAACUUUCAACAACGGAUCUCUUGGCUCUC